CAGCUGCGUUAAUUAAUGUGAAUUGCAGGACACAUUGAACAUCGAAAUCUUGAACGCAUAUGGCGGCCUCGGGCAAUCCGGAGGCCACGCCUGUCUCAGGGUCGGUUGAACGUCGAUCGCGAGAAGCAGUUUGCUCGCGCAGUGGAUGGCAAGGCACUGCAUUCCGAGGUCGUUAGGCAUCCACGUCGCAACGCAGGCGACAGCAACGUGAUGCCGAAACGACCGUGCCACGUUGUCCCGCACGGGCGAAGACCUCUCC
rnacentral:misc_RNA from 1 species